rnacentral:rRNA from 1 species
CAGUCGCCACGGUAAAACCAGCACCUCGAGUGGUCAGGAGGUUUAUUGGGCCUAAAGCAUCCGUAGCCGGUUGCAUAAGUUUUCGGUUAAAUCUAUGCGCUUAACGUAUAGGCCGCCGAAAAUACUGUGCAGCUAGGGAGUGGGAGAGGUACACGGUACUCGAUAGGAAGGGGUAAAAUCCUUUGAUCUAUUGAUGACCACCUGUGGCGAAGGCGGUGUACCAGAACACGCUCGACGGUGAGGGAUGAAAGCUGGGGGAGCAAACCGGAUUAGAUACCCGCGUAGUCCCUGUCUCUUAUAC